rnacentral:misc_RNA from 1 species
GCCCCUAUGCCUCAAGCUCCCCAUCGUCCCCUUCGCGUCGACAUGCUGGUCCCGAACGGGCUCGACGGGCCAGGUGGCGUCGCUCGCGUGUCAGCCGUGCUCGCGGAGGAGUUCGGCAAGGGCGGAGAGGUGAAGCUGCGCCCGAUCAGGACGCGGUACCAUCCAAACAAGCGCUGGGCGGAGGCGCUGAUGCCCCUCUAUCUCCUGCGCUUCGCCCUAGGGGCGCUCCUGCACCGUCCCGACCUCGGGC